rnacentral:rRNA from 1 species
AUUGAACGCUGGCGGCAGGCUUAACACAUGCACGUCGAGCGAGCGGCGGACGGGUGAGUAAUGUCUGGGAAACUGCCUGCUGGAGGGGGAUAACUCCUGGAAACGGUAGCUAAUACCGCAUACCAUCAGAUGUGCCCAGAUGGGAUUAGCUAGUAGGUGGGGUAAUGGCUCACCUAGGCGACGAUCCCUAGCUGGGCUGAGAGGAUGACCAGCAACACUGGAACGGAGACACGGGCCAGACUCCUACGUGAGGCAGCAGUGGGGAAUAUUGGACAAUGGGCGCAAGCCUGAUGCAGCCAUGCCGCGGGUGUGAAGAAGGCGUUCGGGUUGUAAAGCACUUUCAGCGAGGAGGCGUUACUCGCAGAAGAAGCACCGGCUAACUCCGUGACAGAGGGCGCGGUAAUUC